CGCCAUCUCCUGGGGCUUCUAAAGCCUUAUCGAGCCAUCGCCGCAAAGGAGAAGCCGGAGAAGAGGAGCGGCGAUGGAUGGCGGUAGCGAGCUCAGUGGUGCACGAGGUGCUAGGCUGUCGAGCUAUGGACGUCGAUAAGCCCAUCAUCGAACUACAUUAUCAACGUCCUCGCUGACGACGAUUUCGACUUCGGCGUCGAUGGCGAUGGCGUUUUGGAGGCCGUCGGUGACCUCCUCGUUGAUUCCGGCUGUGUCGAGGACUAUGAAGAAACUCAAUUGCUUUGGGACAAAAUUUUGGAGAAGUUGGGCAAACAUGGGUUGGUGUGGCUUUGCUUUGCUAUAUGUUCACAUCUCUUGUGGGAAGACAUGGUAUAGUUUCUACCCUUAUUAGAGGACAAUGAAAGAUGGACUGCUUUACAAGGGGUGCUAUAAUAAGGCAUUUGAUAAUAAAUUCCGUUAUGAUGCUAAACAUACCUCUCUUGUCCAGUCGAGAAUGAAAGUGAUGCAUCAUUCGGUUAUCCGGGGGAGCCUACCUUGUUUAAGAAUUUGAAUUUUGGAAUAAUCUAGACAGUUGAAUAGCUUGCAAGCUACCAAGCAGUUUCCAGGAUGAAUUUGAUAAUGUAGCUGCCGGAAUUACUUUGUCAACAACAAUUCGGUUUCUUAUAUGCUGACAUGUACAUACUGCGCCAUCAACAAUAUCAAUGUGGCCACCUAUUAUAUACGCAUGGACAUUAUUGAUUUGCAUAAUAGGUGGCCACAUGGGCAUCGUCAAUGAUGUGGUAUGUAUUUGUCAAUAGAUGAUAAGGCAAUUCUAGCAGCCAUAUCAUCAAAUUCCUUCUAGAAACUCCUUAGACCCUCCUAGUGAAAUCAAAUUGAACUUGGGUAAUCAAAAUGAUACAAAUUGAAAUUUGAUACCCAAAGUGAAAAUUAGCCACUCACUUAAGAUAUUUACCCAAACCUUGCAACUAGGAGAAGUAUCAAGCUCCCAACUGCCACAUGCAAUUUGAGCCACAUGGCAUAUAAAACCGUGGAUUAUCUCUUUUUUCAAUAUCCUUUUGCCGAGGGUAUUUGGAACCACUCCAGGUGUAUACUAGGGCUUGUGAAAAUGCUGAGCACCUUUUUGCGCGGGCAGGGAAGGGGGGUUGAACGUCCUAUUUAGGGCCAUUUUACGUGUCUACUGCCAUUCUCAAUCCUCUUUAAAAUUAAUAAUCUAUUCUAUUAUGUA